rnacentral:lncRNA from 1 species
AGGAAUGCUACUCAAGGCAGUGUCAACACAUCCUUCUACCCUUGUGCUAUUCCCUAGGUGAAAUGCUGCCUGGUGUACUGCAGAGACAUGUAUUGGUGCAUGCAAGCUGCAAUGAACGUGCUAGGCCUGUUCUGUUGUACAAUCUCGUGUUUGAUGGAGAUCCUCAGGGGUCAUCCAUUCUGUGCAGAGGACCCAAGGAUAUAAUUCCCCGAGUGACUUGAAACAUGCUCUUCACUUGCUCCUUUUUCUCUAUGUUAAUACAGAUUCAUUGUUUGUAUUGCCAGGCUCCAUACCACCCACUGAACAACAUGAAUAUUCAAGAGUUGUCAGCAGCUGCAGCCAGUUUGAUUUUUUCUCAAGAAUUCUAACGCGUACAGUGACGAUGGAUUCACUUUCGUGUGCAGUGGUUUCGCAUGUUCAUUGAUAUUAUUAUUUUAGAAACUUUUUGGCAAAGACUGAUAAACACUCAUGGCUGCCCUGAAAAUCCAUCAGCCCAGAAGGGGAAAAAAUCACACCAAGCUGAAGAUCUCUCUGUUUAGACAUAAAGAGCUGCUCCAUUAAAGACAGAUUUAGGAAAGCACACACUUGAAUAACUUUAUGCAUAAAGACAAGCACAGUGAACUCAGCAGGAUACAUGUAUUAAGUUACUUGGAUGUGAUUUUAGAAUAGGUUAUCAAUCUUCAGUGACUGAGUAUGUGUUCUUGGAGGGGACAGUUUGUGAUUACCCUAAGAAAUAAAUCUCAGCAUAAGCCAUAAGAUUCUGGAUUA